rnacentral:rRNA from 1 species
UACGUAGGGGGCAAGCGUUGUCCGGAUUCAUUGGGCGUAAAGAGCUCGUAGGCGGCUGCUCAAGUCGAAUGUGAAAACUCGAGGCUCAACCUCGAGCCUGCAUUCGAUACUGUGGUGCUUGAGGACUGGAGAGGAGACUGGAAUUCAUGGUGUAGCAGUGAAAUGCGUAGAGAUCAUGAGGAAGACCAGUGGCGAAGGCGGGUCUCUGGACAGUUCCUGACACUGAGGCACGAAGGCCAGGGGAGCAAACGGG